rnacentral:rRNA from 1 species
AUAGAGUCAAGUGAAUAAGUGCAUCAGGCGGAUGCCUUGGCGAUGAUAGGCGACGAAGGACGUGUAAGCCUGCGAAAAGCGCGGGGGAGCUGGCAAUAAAGCAAUGAUCCCGCGAUGUCCGAAUGGGGAAACCCACUGCAUUCUGUGCAGUAUCCUAAGUUGAAUACAUAGACUUAGAGAAGCGAACCCGGAGAACUGAACCAUCUAAGUACCCGGAGGAAAAGAAAUCAACCGAGAUUCCGCAAGUAGUGGCGAGCGAACGCGGAGGAGCCUGUACGUGAUAACUGUCGAGAUAGAAGAACAAGCUGGGAAGCUUGACCAUAGUGGGUGAUAGUCCCGUAUUCGAAAUCUCAAUAGUGGUACUAAGCGUACGAAAAGUAGGGCGGGACACGUGAAAUCCUGUCUGAAUAUGGGGGGACCAUCCUCCAAGGCUAAAUACUCAUCAUCGACCGAUAGUGAACCAGUACCGUGAGGGAAAGGCGAAAAGAACCCCGGGAGGGGAGUGAAAUAGAACCUGAAACCUGAUGCAUACAAACAGUGGGAGCACCCUUGUGGUGUGACUGCGUACCUUUUGUAUAAUGGGUCAACGACUUACAUUCAGUAGCGAGCUUAACCGAAUAGGGGAGGCGUAGGGAAACCGAGUCUUAAUAGGGCGAACAGUUGCUGGGUGUAGACCCGAAACCGAGUGAUCUAUCCAUGGCCAGGUUGAAGGUGCCGUAACAGGUACUGGAGGACCGAACCCACGCAUGUUGCAAAAUGCGGGGAUGAGCUGUGGAUAGGGGUGAAAGGCUAAACAAACUCGGAGAUAGCUGGUUCUCCCCGAAAACUAUUUAGGUAGUGCCUCGAGCAAGACACUGAUGGGGGUAAAGCACUGUUAUGGCUAGGGGGUUAUUGCAACUUACCAACCCAUGGCAAACUCAGAAUACCAUCAAGUGGUUCCUCGGGAGACAGACAGCGGGUGCUAACGUCCGUUGUCAAGAGGGAAACAACCCAGACCGCCAGCUAAGGUCCCCAAUGAUAGAUUAAGUGGUAAACGAAGUGGGAAGGCCCAGACAGCCAGGAUGUUGGCUUAGAAGCAGCCAUCAUUUAAAGAAAGCGUAAUAGCUCACUGGUCGAGUCGUCCUGCGCGGAAGAUGUAACGGGGCUCAAAUCUAUAACCGAAGCUGCGGAUGCCGGUUUACCGGCAUGGUAGGGGAGCGUUCUGUAGGCCGAUGAAGGUGCAUUGUAAAGUGUGCUGGAGGUAUCAGAAGUGCGAAUGUUGACAUGAGUAGCGAUAAAGCGGGUGAAAAGCCCGCUCGCCGAAAGCCCAAGGUUUCCUGCGCAACGUUCAUCGGCGUAGGGUGAGUCGGCCCCUAAGGCGAGGCAGAAAUGCGUAGUCGAUGGGAAACAGGUUAAUAUUCCUGUACUUGAUUCAAAUGCGAUGUGGGGACGGAGAAGGUUAGGUUGGCAAGCUGUUGGAAUAGCUUGUUUAAGCCGGUAGGUGGAAGACUUAGGCAAAUCCGGGUCUUCUUAACACCGAGAAGUGA